ACGGAGGGUGCAAGCGUUAUCCGGAUUCACUGGGUUUAAAGGGUGCGUAGGCGGGUGUAUAAGUCAGUGGUGAAAGCUCCAGGCUUAACUUGGAAAUUGCCAUUGAUACUGUAUAUCUUGAAUGUCGUUGAGGUAAGCGGAAUGUUGCAUGUAGCGGUGAAAUGCUUAGAUAUGUUACAGAACACCAAUUGUGAAGACAGCUUACUAAGCGAUGAUUGACGCUGAGGCACGAAAGCGUGGGGAGCAAACAG
rnacentral:rRNA from 1 species